UACGGAGGGUGCAAGCGUUAAUCGGAAUUACUGGGCGUAAAGCGCACGUAGGCGGCUUUCUAAGUCGGGGGUGAAAUCCUGGAGCUCAACUCCAGAACUGCCUUCGAUACUGGAGAGCUUGAGUCCGGGAGAGGUGAGUGGAACUGCGAGUGUAGAGGUGAAAUUCGUAGAUAUUCGCAAGAACACCAGUGGCGAAGGCGGCUCACUGGCCCGGUACUGACGCUGAGGUGCGAAAGCGUGGGGAGCAAACAGGG
rnacentral:rRNA from 1 species